CAUGCGUCUUUGAGUUACAUUUGGCUUCAUGAGUAUGUGAACUCCCAGUGCAAUCAAACUGGAAACUUUUAAUCAGCAGUACUCUGGCGGAGAGGCCCUAGUGGGGAGAGGAGGGACAAAGGGGCAGCUGCUAUCUUGAAUUCUGCCUUUCAUACCACCACACCAGCCAGCGCCUUCCCCUUGUGGAUUUCACUGGGGAGCCAGCAUUUUAUUUUCAUUGUUUUUGUUGUUAUUUCACAGAUUUCACAAACAGUCCCAGAUUUCAAAGCUUCUGUGAAAAUAUGAACUAACUCGAUUCCUAUGUUUGUGUACUCCUGCAAGUGCUCUUGUAUCUCCAAGUGAGGACAUAAAAGGAAAUGACCACUUCAAGUAACCUUCUGCUCCUUCACCAUCAAUACUAAAUUCUUCAUUAUUGGGAAGGAACUUGGCAGCCCAAGUGAAAUAGCAGAUUUGCAAAAAAUGAAAAUGUUGAGCUUCCAGGUCUGGGGAAAGAAGAAGCAGGAUCCUCGCUUUCAAGAUCACUGUCACCAUACAUGCAAUCCACCAUGAGUAGCUGUUCAAGACAGUCAAGCUUUUUAUCACGCUUUGUGGACAAAACAUCAAAAGAAGAUCAAGAAAAAGCAGAUGAGACAUUAGCUCGAGCUAUAUUUGCAAGUGGUACACCUCUUUCCAUAACUGAAAAUCAGUACUGGAAAGAACAUUACAAACUAAUUCACCCAUCAUAUACGUUACUGUCACGUUAUUGCUUAUUGCAUUCUCUCUUAGAUAAAGAGUAUGACAGAGUUUAAACAAUGGUUAUUCAAAGGAUUAUUCAAACAGAAUCACUAACUCUGAUGUCAGAUGGAUGGACUGACAUUGAACAUUUGUUAGCAACACCUGAACCAAUAUUCCUGAAAGCAAUUGCUACCAAAUCUUCUCGUCAUACAGGUGAAUAGAUAGCCAAAUUACCGAGUGAAUCAAUAGAAAGUGCAGGUCCCUCUAGGGUAUGAACCCUUGUAAUUGAUAAUGCGAGUAACGUGAAAGCUGCAUGGCAAAUAUUAAAGGCAAAGUAUCCUCAUUUAAUAGUAUUUGGCUGUUUUGCUCAUGGGUUGAAUCUUCUGGCAAAGGACAUAGUAAGUGUGAAUAUAAUGAAGACAAUAAUGACAAACUGCAAAGCAAUUGUGAAGGUACUGAACAAUCAUCAUGUUGCUAACCAGACUUUGAAGAAAUUACAGAAAGAGAAGCAGGGGAAGAAAAGUGCACUUUUACUGCCAGGAGAAACUAGAUGGGGCUCAGCUACAAAGUGUUUACAUAGUUUGCUGCAGGCAAAGAACUGUUUGCAUUGUACUUCAAUAGAUAAUAUAGUAUCCCAGAUUAUUUCUGUGAACAUUCGGAAGCAGCUUCUUGGCAACAACGUGUUCUAGGUUCCAGUUCAAGGAGCAUUCAAUUUGCUACUACCAGUUUCAGUGGCUAUCAAGAAACUUGAAGGAGAUACACUAAGCCUUUUAAAUAUUCUAGAGAGAUUCAGACAAUUGAAGGAAAAUCUAAAUGAGCUUUUGCUUUCUUCACCUCAAUCCAAAAAAGAAGUAGAAACAGUAGUAAAAUAAAUGUUUACUAAGAGAUCUGAGUUUUGCUCUCAUCCAGUUCAUCUGGCACAAACCUUUUGGAUCAUCAGCACAGAGGACAUUUAUCAGAAGAUGAAUUAUCUACUGCUUUCAAUACAAUUGUGGAAGUAGCUAAGAAUGUCCCCAACACUGACAAAAUAGUCGUGAUGACAGACAUUGCUGAGUACCACGCAAAACAAAAACUUUGGAGCAAAGACAUCAUUUGGCAGGCAGCAGAGAAUAUGUCUCCUCUCGCAUGGUGGCAGGGAUACCGUAACACCCGACUGCUGUCCAGGAUUGCUCUAAGGAUCCUAAGCGUUCCACCAACAGCAGCUUCUUGUGACCGGAACCAGAAGGCUUUCAGCUCAAUCAAGACACAAAAGAGAAACAGACUAACAAAUGAACGCAGCACUAAGCUUGUUUCUAUUUCUCAAAAUCUCUUUGCUUCUGGAGAAUCAGUCAGAAGCACAAUUAGUGAAGAAGAUGCAGUGUGAUGAUAAGUUGCCCUUGCCCACAGACUCAUUGGUAAAGCCAUUCUUUAAUGAAAGAGAAUGUAGUUCAAGUAGUUCUGAAUCAGGUUUGCCUCAAUCUGAUUCAGAAAUGGAACUAAUAAGUAGUGCAACUGAUUCUACAGAUAGUGACAGUGAAACUGGAGGUGCCGCAAUGACCUCAGUGGAAGAGAGUUAAACUCUGUUGAAGUAGAUGAGUAGACAACCAUGGCAUAUCAUGCACAGUUCUUUGGGUGUGCUAAAGUUAGUGUGUCAACAGUUUUCAGUACCUUUAUUUUUUUUCUUAAAUUUAAACAAACAACGUAAGGGAAGCACAUGCCACUGUGUAUUGUCUUAAAAUUUUUACAAGUAUUCCAAUAAAAAUAAUUUAUUUCCACAUAAAACUUUGAAUUUGUUUGAAUAAAACAUUUAAACCACA